GGGUGAGUAACACGUGGGCAACCUGCCUGUAAGAUCGGAAUAACCCCGGGAAACCGGGGCUAAUGCCGGGUAAUACUUUCUUUCGCAUGAAGGAAAGUUGAAAGAUGGAGAAGGGCUAUCACUUACAGAUGGGCCCGCGGCGCAUUAGCUAGUUGGUGAGGUAACGGCUCACCAAGGCGACGAUGCGUAGCCGACCUGAGAGGGUGAUCGGCCACACUGGGACUGAGACACGGCCCAGACUCCUACGGGAGGCAGCAGUAGGGAAUCUUCCGCAAUGGACGAAAGUCUGACGGAGCAACGCCGCGUGAACGAUGAAGGUCUUCGGAUCGUAAAGUUCUGUUGUUAGGGAAGAACAAGUACCGUGCGAAUAGAGCGGUACCUUGACGGUACCUAACGAGGAAGCCCCGGCUAACUACGUGCCAGCAGCCGCGGUAAUACGUAGGGGGCAAGCGUUGUCCGGAAUUAUUGGGCGUAAAGCGCGCGCAGGCGGUUCCUUAAGUCUGAUGUGAAAGCCCACGGCUCAACCGUGGAGGGUCAUUGGAAACUGGGGAACUUGAGGACAGAAGAGGAGAGUGGAAUUCCACGUGUAGCGGUGAAAUG
rnacentral:rRNA from 1 species